GUCUUUUUAGAGCCGCACCCAGGGCAUAGGGAAGUUCCCAGGCUAGGGGUCGAAUUGGAGCUUCGGGUGCUGGCCUGCACCACAGCCACAGCAAUGCCAGAUCUGAGCCUCAUCUGUGACUUAAACCACAGCUCACAGCAAUGCUGGAUCCUUAACCCAGGGAUCAAACCUGUGUCCUCAUGGGUACUUGUCAGGUUUGUUGCUGCUGAGCCAUAAUGGAAACUCCCAUCUUCCCUUCUUUUUCUUUGGUCACAGGAACAAUUAGCCUGGUUGCAAAUUCGGUUUCAAAUAAAGUCAACUUUACUUGGAGUUAUGCAUGAAUAUAAUUAUUUCAAAUGAAGCAAUUCACUGACUUGAAUGGAAGAUAGUUUUCCAGGUGUUACUCUCCCAUUUAAUGAAAUAGCAUAUGAAUUUAUUGGACUGUAUUUUAUAUGCCUUUAUUUAGAUUAUUUGCAUUCAUGUAAGGUUUGCUAAUUUUGAAUUGAAGCUGUUUGGUUACAGCAUUACUUCAUAUUACAUCUGAAGAACACCUUGGAAGUCGAGCAUCUUGGAAAAUUAGGUUUUGUCAGAUUUUCUUCAACAGCUUUAUUGAGAUAUAAUUCACAUACCACCCAUUUAAAGUAUAUAACUGAUUUUCAGUGUAUUCAUAGAGUUGUGCAACCAUCACCACACUUGAAUUUAUUUUUACUAUCACAAAAAGAAAGAAACCCUGUGGUUUCUUCUAAUUCCAUUCCCACUCCUGCCCUCUGCAACCACAAGUUCAUUUUCUACUUCCCUAGAAUUGUCUAUUCUAGACUUUUCAUAUAAAUGAUAUCAUACAAUUUGUGGCUUUUUACUUAGCCUAACAUUUUUGAAGUUCAUUCAUGUAACAUUAAUCAGUAGUAUUUCAUUCCUUUUUAUUGCCAAAUUUUCCUUUGUAAUGGGUAUAUAUGUCCAUUAUUUACACAUACACACACACACACACUUACAAUUCGUUCAUUAGUUUAUACACAUUUGAGAAAACUUUUUAGUUGACAUUCUUACCUUGAAUAAAAUUGGACUUCCAUUGGUAAGAAAGUAGGGAUGGCUAUUGGUGGGCAGCUAGCCACAUCUGCCCCCAUGAAGAAGUGGGCUAAGAGACUGAUGUCUGGCCUCCUUUAGCAGUGUAUUAAUGUUUCAGAAUUGUCAGGUAUGAGGGGCACUGCAGUGGCAGUGAAGUCUUGCCAAUAUAGGCAUUGCCCAGUCAGCUUGUCAUCAGGUUGGUGAGCACUGCCAUUAUCUGAGGAGAAAGCCUGGAAGGAAUUACUGUUUAACAUUUUAGCCUCUAUGACCAGCAAAACCACUAUUCCGUCGUGAUGGCUAUUACUUUGACCUCUGGCUCUACUAUUUUCCACCAGCUCAUAAUUCUGCCACCACUUUAUAGUCUUGGACCUGCAAGAAUAUUUUUGUUCUCCUCAGUGUUUGGCCUGGAGUAUCUCCCACCAGGUGCCUUUCCUCCAGCUUCAUGGUCUUAACUACCUACGGCCUUUAGAAGUAAACUAGAGAUUUGCUAUCUGUCUCUAAAAAUUUUCAUUAAAAGAGCUUAAACAUGUGUUUAUUCAUUUAAUGAAAUAUCACAUGAAUUUAUUGGAUUGUAUUUUGUAUGCCUUUGUUUAGAUUAUUUGCAUUCAUGUAAGGUUUGCUGAUUUUGAAUUGAAACCGUUUGGUGACAGCAUUACUUAAUAUACAUCUGAAGAACACCUUAGAUGUUGUCUGCAUAACUCAGAGAACAGGACAUUCUGGACACUGUCGUGGACUUGAGAAGGAAUUGGUCGUAGGCCCUGGCCCCAGAAAAGCUCCAGAGUUCAUAUUCUGAAUAAAGUUCCUCUAACUCUGACUUGUUCAGGCCAGAGUGGGUUUGACUUGACUAUAAUCUCUUCGUCAGGAAGUGCAGUGUCUUGAUAAACCUGUGUUUAAGUUUUGUGUUGGAAUCUCUAGGCAGUGUCCCUCUGGCCUUUGCUCUUUUUUUCCCCCUUAGAAAGAGCCACAGAUGACCUGACUGAAAGGAGGGCAGCUUUACUUGACCUGACAGACAUUCUUGGUCAGCUAGGCAGACUCUUGUCUCGUGGUAAGUACUCCCUAGAGCCCUUCUUGCCUCUUCUGGGAAGGCAGGAAGAGGAAGAGACAGGAGGCUGCAGCCAGGCGCUGCCGGGCUUUGUGGAAACCUGGGACCAGCUCUGCCCUGAGGGCUUUCUCUGGCUCCACUGCCCUUGCUGGCCACCUUGGACGUUUCCUACUCCUGGGCGUCCCUUUGUUGCCAGCCUCACCAUCUGCCUCAUUUCCCAUUGUGGCGCAGUGGUUAACAAAUCCGACUAGGAACCAUGAGGUUGUGGGUUCGAUCCCUGCCCUUGCUCAGUGGGUUAAUGAUCCGGUGUUGCUGUGAACUGUGGUGUAGGUUGCAGACGCGGCUCGGAUCCUGCGUUGCUGUGUCUCUGGCCUAGGCUGGCAGCUACAGCUCCUAUUAGACCCCUAGCCUGGGAACCUCCAUAUGCCACGGGAGCGGCCCAAGAAAUAG
ensembl:lncRNA